UCAAGCGAACAAGGGCGCAGGGCGAAUGCCUUGGCACUGGGAGCCGAUGAAAGACGUGAUAAGCUGCGAUAAGCUUCGGGGAGCUGCAAAUAAGCAUUGAUCCGGAGAUUUCUGAAUGAGGAAACUCACCUGGGUUCAUACUCAGGUACGUUAUACUGAACUUAAAAAUAGGUAUAUCGAGGGAACCGCCUGAACUGAAACAUCUAAGUAGGGCGAGGAAGAGACAUCAAACGAGAUUCCGUAAGUAGUGGCGAGCGAACGCGGAAGAGGGCAAACCGAGAGUAGAAAUACUUUCGGGGUACGGACUGCUUUUAAGACUCAAUCUGUUAACCGAACGGCAUGGGAAGGCCGGUCAGAGAGUGUGAGAACCACGUAGGUGAAAACGGAGAGAGCUGCGCAGGAUCCAGAGUACGGCCAGACACGUGAAACCUGGUCGGAAUACGGGGGGACCACCCUCCAACCCUAAAUACUACCCAGUGACCGAUAGCGUAUAGUACUGUGAAGGAAAGGUGAAAAGCACCCCGGGAGGGGAGUGAAAAAGAACCUGAAACCCUGUGCCUACAAGCACCUAGAGCACGUCAAUGUGUGAUAGGGUACUUUUUGUAGAACGGUCCGGCGAGCGAUUGUAUGCAGCAAGGUUAAGGACUUAAGGUCUGGAGCCGAAGCGAAAGCGAGUUUGAAAAGGGCGUUAAGUUGCAUACAAUGGGCCCGAAACCGGGUGACCUACCCAUGGUCAGGUUGAAGUGGAAGUAAAAUUCCAUGGAGGACCGAACCGACCUCCGUUGAAAAGGCGGCGGAUGAACUGUGGGUAGCGGAGAAAUUCCAAUCGAACCCGGAGAUAGCUGGUUCUCCCCGAAAUAGUUUUAGGACUAGCCUCAAGUUAGAUACCUGGAGGUAAAGCACUGAAUAGCCUAGCGGCCGAGAGGUUAGCGAAGCUUAUCAAACUCAGAAUGCCAGAGUAUUGAUGCUUGGGAGUCAGACAGUGUCAGAUAAAUGUCAUUGUCAAAAGGGAAACAGCCCAGAUCUACAGCUAAGGUCCCAAAGUCAGGUUAAGUGGAAAACGAUGUGAAGAUACGCAGACAACCAGGAUGUUGGCUCAGAAGCAGCCACUCAUUCAAAGAGUGCGUAAUAGCUCACUGGUCGAGCGUCUUUGCGCGGAGAAUUUAACGGGGCUAAACCUGACACCGAAGCUUAGGCAAUACAGCAAUGUAUUGGGUAGGGGAGCGUUGUAUACGCGGUGAAACAGUAGCGCAAGCGGCUGUGGAGUGUAUAGAAGUGAGAAUGCCGGAAUGAGUAGCGCGAAUGCAGUGAGAAUCUGCAUGGCCGAAAGCCUCAGGUUUCUGGAGGAAGGUUCGUCCGCUCCAGGUUAGUCGGGAGCUAAGGUGAGGCCUAACGGCGUAGCCGAUGCACAGACGGUAGAGAUUCCGUCACCACCAAAAGAGUUAAACACAGGGACACAUUUGAAGUCUCGGAGCCGGGUGUUGGUUCCGGUAGCGAUCGAGGGAAGUUAGUACCGAAGUCCGGGAUGGAAGAUGGCGAGAAAAGCUGUGUGUAUUUCUGCGGUGCCCGUACCGCAAACCGACACAGGUAGGUAGGAAGAAGAUUCUAAGGCCAACGGGAGAAGGGUUGUUAAGGAACUCGGCAAAUUGACCCCGUAACUUCGGGAGAAGGGGUGCUCCAGAGAUGGAGCCGCAGAGAAUCGGCCCAAGCAACUGUUUACCAAAAACACAGGUUUGUGCUAAAUCGAAAGAUGACGUAUACGAGCUGACGCCUGCCCGGUGCUGGAAGGUUAAGAGGAGAUGUGCAAGCAUUGAAUCGAAGCCCCAGUGAACGGCGGCCGUAACUAUAACGGUCCUAAGGUAGCGAAAUUCCUUGUCAGGUAAGUUCUGACCCGCAUGAAAGGCGUAAUGAUUUGGGCACUGUCUCAACAGCCCGCCCGGCGAAAUUGUAGUACCGGUGAAGAUGCCGGUUACCCGCGACAAGACGGAAAGACCCCAUGGAGCUUUACUGUAGCCUAAUAUUGGGUUUCGAUGUUGCAUGCACAGGAUAGAUGGGACACAGGGAAACAAGUGCUUUGGCAUUUGUGGAGUGGCCGUUGGGAUACCAUCCUUGCGAUAUUGGAAUUCUAACCUGCGCCUUUGAAUCAAGGCGGGGGACAUUGUUAGGUGGGCAGUUUGACUGGGGCGGUCGCCUCCUAAAGAGUAACGGAGGCGUUCAAAGGUUCGCUCAGCUUGAACGGAAAUCAAGCAAAAGAGUGCAAACGCAGAAGCGAGCCUAACUGCGAGACUGACGGGUCGAGCAGUAACGAAAGUUGGAGUUAGUGAUCCGGUGGUAUGUGAGUGGAAAUGCCAUCGCUCAACGGAUAAAAGUUACCCUGGGGAUAACAGGCUGAUCUCCCCCAAGAGUCCACAUCGACGGGGAGGUUUGGCACCUCGAUGUCGGCUCAUCACAUCCUGGGGCUGUAUUCGGUCCCAAGGGUUCGGCUGUUCGCCGAUUAAAGUGGUACGCGAGCUGGGUUCAGAACGUCGCGAGACAGUUCGGUCCCUAUCUGUCGUGGGCGCAGGAUAUUUGAGGAGCUCUGUCCUUAGUACGAGAGGACCGGGAUGGACGUACCUCUGGUGCACCAGUUGUCAUGCCAAUGGCACGGCUGGGCAGCUACGUACGGAACGGAUAAACGCUGAAAGCAUCUAAGCGUGAAGCCGACUCCAAGAUUAGAUAUCCCAUUGCAUAAGCAAGUAAGACCCCUUGAGGACUACGAGGUUGAUAGGCUGCGUGUGUAAGUGUCGUGAGGCAUUUAGCUUGGCAGUACUAAUAGGUCGAGGGCUUGACCAC
rnacentral:rRNA from 1 species